UACGGAGGGUGCGAGCGUUGUCCGGAAUCACUGGGCGUAAAGGGCGCGUAGGCGGCCUGAUAAGUAGGGGGUGAAAUCCUGCGGCUUAACCGCAGGGCUGCCUUCUAAACUGUCGGGCUAAAGCACGGUAGAGGCAGAUGGAAUUCCCGGUGUAGCGGUGGAAUGCGUAGAUAUCUGGAGGAACACCGGUGGCGAAGGCGGCAUCCUGGACCGGCAUUGACGCUAAAGCGCGAAAAGCCAGGGGGAGCAAAACGGGG
rnacentral:rRNA from 1 species